GAUAAACCCGGGCCAGAAGCCGCGGCAAACCGUGAGGGUCAACGUUGAUCCGGUGUUAUUUGGUUUAAAGGGUCCGUAGGCUGACUGUGAAGUCAGUGGUGAAAGCCUGUCGCUUAACGAUAGAACUGCCAUUGAUACUGUAAGUCUUGAGUAUAUUUGAGGUAGCUGGAAUAAGUAGUGUAGCGGUGAAAUGCAUAGAUAUUACUUAGAACACCAAUUGCGAAGGCAGGUUACCAAGAUAUAACUGACGCUGAGGGACGAAAGCGUGGGGAGCGAACAGGAUUAGAUACCCUGGUAGUC
rnacentral:rRNA from 1 species